CCUACGGGUGGCAGCAGUGGGGAAUAUUGCACAAUGGGGGGAACCCUGAUGCAGCGACGCCGCGUGGGUGAAGGAGUAUUUCGGUAUGUAAAGCCCUAUCAGCAGGGAAGAACAAUGACGGUACCUGACUAAGAAGCACCGGCUAAAUACGUGCCAGCAGCCGCGGUAAUACGUAGGGUGCAAGCGUUAUCCGGAUUGACUGGGUGUAAAGGGAGCGCAGGCGGCGCGUUAAGCCUGGUGUGAAUGCCCGCGGCCCAACCACGGAACUGCAUUGGAAACUGGCGAGCUGGAGUGCGGGAGGGGUAGGCGGAAUUCCUGGUGUAGCGGUAAAAUGCGUAGAUAUUAGGAGGAACACCAGUGGCGAAGGCGGCCUACUGGACCGUAACUGACGCUGAGGCGCGAAAGCGUGGGGAGCAAACAGGAUUAGAUACCCUUGUAGUC
rnacentral:rRNA from 1 species